GGCCGCCGCGGCUGCGGGGAGAGGGCGGGGGCGAUGCUGCCGGAGCCGCAGCCGCCGCCGCCGCCUCGGUGAGAGCCGCGCCGCGCCGCGCAUAGCCGCACAGGCUGACAGGCAGAAGGACUGACUUCCCUCUCCCGGGCAUCCUCCCUGGGCUGCCGGGAGGCGGCGGCGGAGGAGGAGGAGGAGAAGGAAAAGGAGGAGACGGCGGAGAGCAGAAACGUGAGGAGGUGGACCUGGAUCCGUUUCUCCCGGCCAGGACCCGAGCGGCCCCAGCUACCACUACCCGCCGGCGCCGUCCCCUAUCCAUCAGCCCUCCUGCGCCCACCCGCGACCCCCGGCUCUCUGCGCGUUGGGCCAGGUCCAGAGCGGCGCGGCCGGAGGCUCUGGAACCGAACGGCAGACGCGGUCAGUUGGGGUGUCCUCCGUGGGUCCCUAGGGACGCCGAUGGGUGAGGAGCCGCCGCCUUUGCCAUCCCCGCCGCUCUGCAAACGCUCGCCUCCCUCCCUAUGGUGCGUGCGCCGCGGCGCGCCCCGGGCGAAUCGCGGACGC
rnacentral:lncRNA from 1 species